CUACGGGGUGCAGCAGUGGGGAAUAUUGCACAAUGGAGGAAACUCUGAUGCAGCAACGCCGCGUGGAGGAUGACACUUUUCGGAGCGUAAACUCCUUUUAUAUAGGAAGAAGAUGACGGUACUAUAUGAAUAAGCGCCGGCUAACUCCGUGCCAGCAGCCGCGGUAAUACGGAGGGCGCAAGCGUUACUCGGAAUCACUGGGCGUAAAGAGCGUGUAGGCGGAUUAAAAAGUCAGAAGUGAAAUCCUAUAGCUUAACUAUAGAACUGCUUCUGAAACUCUUAAUCUAGAAUAUGGGAGAGGUAGAUGGGAUUUCUGGUGUAGGGGUAAAAUCCGUAGAGAUCAGAAGGAAUACCGAUUGCGAAGGCGAUCUACUAGAACAUUAUUGACGCUGAGACGCGAAAGCGUGGGGAGCAAACAGGAUUAGAUACCGCGUAGUC
rnacentral:rRNA from 1 species